rnacentral:lncRNA from 1 species
UUUUCAGGUUUGCCUCCAGUAGUAUAUUCUGCAUGAUCUGUUCUUCUCAUGAAAUGUUCCUUAUUCACAAUGGUAUCAUGGGUUCAUUCUCUAUUCAUCAUUCAUCAGAGGAAACAACAUUUUCCAGACCGACCCUUGACACUGUAUCUGCAAUGACCGUUCAUUAGCCUAGAUUUUGUCCAAGGACUCUGUCAUAUUUCUGCUUCUGGGGUAACAAAAGAGGAACACACUUUUUAUUUGCUCCUCAGGCUGCAAUAUGGAUCUGAUGGCAUAGUUUCCAUCUUUCUCUCUUUUCUGCAAAGUUUCCAACUUGAGACCAAGACAAGAAUUACUCCGCAUUUGUGUAUAGUACACGUCAGCUUUCCCUGCUGUCUUCUGUUUGGGGAACGUUGCCCUAUUGGAUUGCUUACUUCCAUUAUCUCCCUUUGCCAUGAUGCCUGAGGAUGAUGGGGAUUGCUGCCAAACACAGUCCAUGCAUUGUCCAUGCUGCAUUUUCUCUUUCUAUGAGCUCGUUUCCUAGGAGGAUCCUUUGCUGAACCAU